rnacentral:rRNA from 1 species
GGCUACUGCUAUUGGGAUUCCACUAAGCCAUGCGAGUCUAUGGACUUCGGUCCAUGGCGGACGGCUCAGUAACACGUGGCUAACCUACCCUCAGGUGGGGCAUAACCUCGGGAAACUGAGGAUAAUACCCCAUAGGAAAAGAGGUUUGGAAUAAUCCUUUUCUGAAAGGAUAUCCGCCUGAGGAUGGGGCUGCGUCCGAUUAGGUAGUUGGUGGGGUAAUGGCCCACCAAGCCUACGAUCGGUACGGGCCUUGAGAGAGGGAGCCCGGAGAUGGGGACUGAGACACGGCCCCAGGCCCUACGGGGCGCAGCAGGCGCGAAACCUCCACAAUGCACGAAAGUGCGAUGGGGGAAUCCCAAGUGCCUAUGCACAGCAUAGGCUUUUCCCAAGUCUAAACAACUUGGGGAAUAAGGGCUGGGCAAGUCCGGUGCCAGCAGCCGCGGUAACACCGGCGGCCCGAGUGGUGGCCACUCUUAUUGGGCCUAAAGCGUCCGUAGCCGGUUCAGUAAGUCUCUGUUUAAAUCCUACGGCUUAACCGUAGGGCUGGCAGAGAUACUGCUGGACUUGGGACCGGGAGAGGAAGAGGGUACUUCGGGGGUAGCGGUGAAAUGCGUUGAUCCCUGAGGGACCACCUAUGGCGAAGGCACUCUUCUGGAACGGGUCCGACGGUGAGGGACGAAAGCCAGGGGAGCGAACCGGAUUAGAUACCCGGGUAGUCCUGGCCGUAAACUUUGCGAACUAGGUGUCAUCUGGACCUCGGGUCCAGGUGGUGCCGAAGGGAAGCCAUUAAGUUCGCCGCCUGGGGAGUACGGUAGCAAGACUGAAACUUAAAGGAAUUGGCGGGGCCGCACAGGGAGCGGGUGGAGCCUGCGGUUU